UACGUAGGGACCAAGCGUUGUUCGGAUUUACUGGGCGUAAAGGGCGAGUAGGUGGCCAUCUAAGUCAGACGUGAAAUCCCCCGGCUUAACCUGGGAACUGCGUCUGAUACUGGACGGCUUGAGUAUGGGAGAGGGAUGUAGAAUUCCAGGUGUAGCGGUGAAAUGCGUAGAUAUCUGGAGGAAUACCGGUGGCGAAGGCGGCAUCCUGGACCAUUACUGACGCUGAGGCGCGAAAGCUAGGGGAGCAAACGGG
rnacentral:rRNA from 1 species